AUGACAUGGGGACAGUUCGUCAACAGUUCUUCAUUCUUCUUGAUGAAGAGGCCUCCGAAAAACACAGACACCUUGACACUGGGCAUCUACUUGGAGAAGUGCUCAUUCAUACUCCCUGCUGAUCUGGAAGGCCAGUGCCCCUGUGUGGCAUGUGAUCAGGACUGUCCCCUGUCAGUUGACGGGCCGGAUCUGCUGCACUGUGGCCAGCACAAAGACCACCGUCUUACCCGUCCCGGACUUGGUCUGGCACAGGACGUCCAUGCCCAGGGUGGCCUGGAGAAUGCACUCAUGCUGGACCUCAGGAGCUCCAGCUUCAGCAGAAAGUCCCAGAAACCAGAGCUGUGGAUAGAAAUGUCAUUCUCCUUUAUUCACAAAACAUCACUGUAGCCACCACCUCAGCCUCGCCACUUCCAGCAAGGAGAUCUGGCCUGUGUGCAGGGAGUCCACGCAGGAUCCCAUGGAGGUGUUUGUGGAUGAUGAGACCAAGUGCACGCUGCACACACCGCAGCAGUACUACCUCAAGCUCAAGGACACCGAGAAGAACUGCAAGCUUAUUUCCUGGCCCACUGCACCCCAGCCCUACCUUAUGCUAAGUCUCCAUGUCAGAGGAUGAUAAAUCCACAUGCGCGUGCACAUGCAUAUUCACCAUCUGGCCCUUGUUCCGUUCAGGUGAUUUAUUUCUUGCAUCUCCUUAUUGAAUUUAUAAGAAGAUGCAUGAUAAUUCAUUUUCUUUGUCAAUUCCCUGCUUCUCAUUUUGCUAAUUCAAUGCCACACUAACACUUCUAUUAAUUUGGCACUUGGAACUGAUAGAUUUACUGUGUGGCGUUCCAUCUCUAACUAAACAAAAAUAAAACCGCAGACCUGGAGCUUUUUCCACUGUCAAAGUUUUGCUGCUGCUGUUUUGGCCGCUGCUGCGUUGUAUGAAGCUUAUCCACAUCCUUUAAUCAUAGGAUGUGGAUAAUCGUUCUCUCGAACGGAGGUAUAUGGGGAUAAUACCUGAAGGUUUUCCACAUUGUGGAGGCAUUGUAAAUAUUCCUGAAGUGAAGACUUGUGUGGCUAAAGAAGUCAUCUUCCUUAUAAAUCAUAGGGUUCACCUGAGUCAUAAGGCAACCUGCUCUUCUAUAGCAAAUACUUGCUUGCUGCAAAGGCCUGGACGAGGAUUCUCGACAGUGAUCACCUGCACCUUGUC
rnacentral:lncRNA from 1 species